UAAUAGUUGCCUGGGAAACUAGAGAUGAAAUUCUACAGGUCUUUGAAAUGCUUUACAUUUGAGAAUGAAGCUCAGCUGAAGUUUGAACAGCAUACUGACAUAUACCAACAAGAAUGAAAAUAACUUAACAGCAAUUUUAUAAAUUCACAUCCCCCAGAGCACCACAGAGUAAAGAAAUACUGCAUAUGGGUAACAACUGGUUCUUAGUUACUAAAUCUGAAAGAUCAAAUACAGUUAAUUACAUAAGCUUCUCUUGAGUUUUUCUGGGGGAAUAUACCAGGAGACCAUAAUCAAGGUACCAGUUUAUUGAUGGCUGUCCUUAACAAAUACAACUCUUCAAGAAAAUAAAGUAAUUUAAUGCAUAAUAAUGUUGAAUGCCAUCACCAGUGGCAUUUCAUACUGGUCCCAUGGUGUUAAUCCAGGUUUCUGGUAUUGCACUAAACACGAUGAAAAACAGGAGAGAACGGAGAGGGAUCAUGUUUUACCACAAUAUGCAAUUUAUGGGAGAGAUGAAGCGCUCAGGUGGAGAUGACUAGUGUCACGUGGUGUUUUAAGUGGAUACUCACAACGCUGGAACUCACAGCAAUAACAACAAGAGAUCCUCUAUAGACUGUUGAUGUAUAGCCAUGAGAAAAAAAAAAGAAAAAUUUUUGCUCUCAAUGAGCUUGCAUUUAAGCAUCUAUAAAAGGUGAGAUUAAUAUUUACUCAGUGAACUUUGAGUAAAGCAUUGGGUGCUUCAUUAUGUGGAGGAGUCUCAUCCAAUCAGUUGAAGGUGACUGAAUGGAACUAUAGAUCGACCUCACAUAAAUGAGAGGGAAUUCUGCAACAGAUCAUCUUUGCCUUUGAACUGCAGCAUGGACUCCCCUCUGGGUCUCCUGCCUGCCAGCCCACCCUGCAGAGUGCAUUUGCCAGCCUCCACAAUCAGGUAAUUUAUCCUGUGCAUUAACAAGAGGAAGUCUAGAGCCAUGGAAACCAAGUCAGGAAACUUCUCUCUUAUUAUUAGGUCCACUGCAAAUCUAGUUGAGACUGCAAAUCGAGAGCUCUGUUCACUGGCUUUCGUCUCCUUUCCUCAACACAGUUUAGUCACCACCUCCGAGGAACUGUGUCCCGCAUUGGCAUUCCUUUGGCAGCUUCCACUUCUCUGUCCCCUUGAGCAAACUAAUGAUAUCUUAAGUUAGAACAUCAUGCCAAGAGAAGUAUGUUUUCAACCAAGAAAGCAAAAUCAACAUGAUCCUAAAUGAACUGCUUCUGCAUGUCAACAGUCUUGAUAUACCUGAGAGAGUGAGAUACAGAGUAUGUUGUUAAACUUUUUAUAAUUACAAAUAUUGCUUGUAUUUCUUUUGAAAUUUGCCACACGCUGAUAUUAAAAAUAAUAGAUAGAAAAUCAAGAGAGAAA
rnacentral:lncRNA from 1 species